rnacentral:rRNA from 1 species
CGCGUAGGCGGCCUGGUAAGUCUGGAGUGAAAGUCCUGCUUUUAAGGUGGGAAUUGCUUUGGAUACUGCUGGGCUUGAGUGCAGGAGAGGUAAGUGGAAUUCCCGGUGUAGCGGUGAAAUGCGUAGAGAUCGGGAGGAACACCAGUGGCGAAGGCGACUUACUGGACUGUAACUGACGCUGAGGCGCGAAAGUGUGGGAGCAAACA